rnacentral:rRNA from 1 species
UGGGGAAUCUUGCACAAUGGGGGCAACCCUGAUGCAGCGACGCCGCGUGAGCGAUGAAGCCCUUCGGGGCGUAAAGCUCUUUCGACCGGAACGAUAAUGACGGUACCGGGAGAAGAAGCUGGGGCUAACUACGUGCCAGCAGCCGCGGUAAUACGUAGGCAGCAAGCGUUGUUCGGAGUUACUGGGCGUAAAGAGUGCGUAGGCGGUUUUCUAAGUUCGGUGUGAAAUCUCCCGGCUUAACUGGGAGGGUGCGCCGAAGACUGGGAAGCUGGAGUGUGGGAAAGGCAGGCGGAAUUCCUGGUGUAGCGGUGAAAUGCGUAGAUAUCAGGAGGAACACCGGCGGUGUAGACGGCUUGCUAGACCAUAACUGACGCUGAGGCACGAAAGCGUGGGUAGCAAACA